rnacentral:rRNA from 1 species
ACGCUAGCGGCGUGGAUAAGACAUGCAAGUCGAGCGAUGAUCCAACGAUAGCAAUAUUGGAGGGGAUUAGCGGCGAACGGGUGAGUAACACGUAGGAAUCUGCCCUGAAGUUUGGAAUAGCCCGGUGAGAGCCGGGAUAAUACCGGAUGUGAUCUUCGGAUUAAAGGCCUUCGGGUCGCUUCAGGAUGAGCCUGCGCUCCAUCAGCUUGUUGGUAGGGUAAAAGCCUACCAAGGCGAGGACGGAUAGCUGGUCUGAGAGGACGGCCAGCCACAAUGGAACUGAGACACGGUCCAUACACCUACGGGUGGCAGCAGUCGAGAAUCAUUCACAAUGGGCGAAAGCCUGAUGGUGCGACGCCGCGUGGGGGAUGAAGGCCUUCGGGUCGUAAACCCCUGUCGGUUGCGAGUAAGGCCCGGCUUACGUCGGGAUUGAUAUUAGCAACAAAGGAAGGGGCGGCUAACUCCGUGCCAGCAGCCGCGGUAAUACGGAGGCCCCAAGCGUUGUUCGGAUUUACUGGGCGUAAAGCGUGCGUAGGCGGCGAGGUAAGUUUGGCGUGAAAGCCCCGGGCCCAACCCGGGAAAUGUGCUGGAAACUACUUCACUAGAGGUGUGGAGGGGAGUCUGGAAUUCCUGGUGUAGCAGUGAAAUGCGUAGAUAUCAGGAGGAACAUCAGUGGCGAAGGCGAGACUCUGGAAACAUUCUGACGCUGAGGUACGAAGGCUAGGGGAGCGAAGAGGAUUAGAUACCCUCGUAGUCCUAGCAGUAAACGGUGUGCACUUGCUGUGGGGGGAUUCGACCCCUUCCGUGGCGAAGCUAACGCAUUAAGUGCACCGCCUGGGGAGUACGGCCGCAAGGUUAAAACUCAAAGAAAUUGACGGGGGCCUGCACAAGCGGUGGAGCAUGUGGCUUAAUUCGAUGCAACGCGAAGAACCUUACCUGGGCUUGACAUGUUUGUCGUACCUGAGUGAAAGCUCGGGGUCAGUUCGGCUGGACAAUCACAGGUGCUGCAUGGCUGUCGUCAGCUCGUGUCGUGAGAUGUUGGUUUAAGUACCGCAACGAGCGCAACCCCUGUGUCCUGUUGCCACGGAGAACACGUUUCUCCAGCACUCUGGACAGACUGCCCCAUUUUUAGUGGGGAGGAAGGUGGGGAUGACGUCAAGUCAGUAUGGCCCUUACGCCCAGGGCUGCACACGUGCUACAAUGCCCGGCAUAAUGGGAAGUGAAAUCGCGAGAUGGAGCCAAUCCCCAAAACCGGGCCCAGUUCGGAUUGGAGUCUGCAACUCGACUCCAUGAAGUUGGAAUCGCUAGUAACGGCGCAUCAGCUACGGCGCCGUGAAUACGUUCCUGAGCCUUGUACACACCGCCCGUCAAGUCAUGGAAGCUGGUAGUGCGUUAAGUCGCCGAGAUUCAUCGGUGCCCACCGCAAGACUGGUGACUGGGACUAAGUCGUAACAAG